UGGGGGAUAUUGGACAAUGGGGGCAACCCUGAUCCGGCGACGCCGCGUGAGGGAAGAAGGUUUUCGGAUUGUAAACCUCUGUUGACGGAGAAAAAAAUGAUGGUAUCCGUUUAGAAAGCCACGGCUAACUACGUGCCAGCAGCCGCGGUAAUACGUAGGUGGCAAGCGUUGUCCGGAAUUACUGGGUGUAAAGGGAGUGUAGGCGGGAUAUCAAGUCAGAAGUGAAAAUUACGGGCUCAACUCGUAACCUGCUUUUGAAACUGACAUUCUUGAGUGAAGUAGAGGCAAGCGGAAUUCCUAGUGUAGCGGUGAAAUGCGUAGAUAUUAGGAGGAACACCAGUGGCGAAGGCGGCUUGCUGGGCUUUUACUGACGCUGAGGCUCGAAAGCGUGGGGAGCAAACAGGAUUAGAUACCCUGGUAGUCCACGCCGUAAACGAUGAUUACUAGGUGUGGGGGGAUUGACCCCUUCCGUGCCGGAGUAAACACAAUAAGUAAUCCACCUGGGGAGUACGACCGCAAGGUUGAAACUCAAAGGAAUUGACGGGGGCCCGCACAAGCAGUGGAGUAUGUGGUUUAAUUCGACGCAACGCGAAGAACCUUACCAGGUCUUGACAUCAAGUGACCGCCUAAGAGAUUAGGUUUUCCCUUCGGGGACACAAAGACAGGUGGUGCAUGGUUGUCGUCAGCUCGUGUCGUGAGAUGUUGGGUUAAGUCCCGCAACGAGCGCAACCCUUAUCAUUAGUUGCUACGCAAGAGCACUCUAAUGAGACUGCCGUUGACAAAACGGAGGAAGGUGGGGAUGACGUCAAAUCAUCAUGCCCUUUAUGACCUGGGCUACACACGUACUACAAUGGCGUUUAACAAAGAGAAGCAAAGCCGCGAGGCAGAGCAAAUCUCCAAAAAACGUCUCAGUUCGGAUUGUAGGCUGCAACUCGCCUACAUGAAGUCGGAAUUGCUAGUAAUCGUAGGUCAGCAUACUACGGUGAAUACGUUCCC
rnacentral:rRNA from 1 species